rnacentral:lncRNA from 1 species
CCACAUGCCGGACACGCCGGAACCACCGCCGGACAUGCCAAAUCACCUGCCGGAUACGCCAGAACCACUUGGCGAACACUCCGGAAUCACCUGCCUGGCAUGCCGGAACCACCUCUCAGACAUGCCAGAUCCACAUGCCAAUGACACCGGAAGCACCUGCCGAGCACGCCGGAACCACCUGCUCGACUUGCCAGAACCACCUGCCGGACACGCAAAAAUCACCUGCUAGCUACGCCACAACCAGUUGGCGAACACUUCGCAAUCACCUGCCGGGCUUGCCAGAAACACCUGCCGGACAUGCCAAAAUCACCUGCCAACUACGCCAGAACCACUGGUCGACACUGUGGAAACACCGGUCAGGCCGGCCGGAACCACAACUCAGACGGGCCAGAACCAUGUGCAUGAGAUGCUGGAACCACAGCCUGAACAGACGGAAGCCACCUGCCAGACCCGCCUGAACCACCUGCCAAGCAUGCCGGAACCACCUGCUCGACUUGCCAGAACCACCUACCUGACACGCCAAAAUCACCUGCAGGGUAUGCCAGAACCACUUGGCGGACACUCCGGAAUCAUCUGCCGGACAUGCCGGAACCAGCUCUCAGACACACCAGAACCACGUGCUGGAGACGCCGAGAGCACCUACCGAGCAUGCCGGACUCACCUGCUCGACUCGCCAGAAACACCUGCCGGACACGCCAAAAUCACCUGCCGGGUACGCCAGAACCACCUGGAGGACACUCCGGAAUCAGCUGCCGCGCAUGCCGAAACAACCUCUCAGACGUGCCGGAAGCACGUGCCAGACACGCCGGAAAAACCUACCGGACAGUACGGAACCACCUGCCAGACAUGCUGGAACCACCUGCUGAGCACGCCAGAGCCACAUGCUCAACUCGCCUGAACCACCUGCCGGACACGCCAAAAUCACGUGCCGGCUAUGCCAAAACCACUUGGUGGACUCUCUGGAAUCACCUGCCGGGCAUGAUAGAACCACCUCUCAGACGUGCCGGAACCACGUGCCGGACACGCCGGAACCACCUACCGAACCUGCACGAGCCAACUGUCGAGCACGCCGGAACCACAUGCUCGACUCGCUGGAACCACAUGCUGGACAUGGCUAAAUCACCUGACGGCUACGCCAGAACCACUUGGAAGACACUCCGGAAUCCCCUGCCGGGCAUGCCAGCACAACCUCUCAGAAGUGCCAGAAGCACGUGCCGGACAGGCCGGAACCAUCUCCCGGACAGACCGGAACCACAGGAAACACUCGCCGGAACCACCUGCUUGACUCACCAGUCCCACCUGCCGGACAUGCCAAAAUCACCUGCCCGUUACACCAGAACCACUUGGGGGACAAGCCAGAAUCAUGUGAAGGGCAUGCCAGCACAACCUCUCAGAAGUGCCAGAAACACAUGCCGGACAGGCCGGAACCAUCUCCCGGACAGUCCGGGACCACAGGAAACAGUCGCCGGAACCACCUGCUUGACUCACCGGUCCCAACUGCUGGACACGCAAAAAUCACCUGCCGGCUACACCAGAACCACUUGAGAGACAAGCUGCAAUCACGUGAAGGGCAUGCCGGCACAACAUCUCAGACGUGCCAGAACCUCGUGCCGGACACCCCAGAACCACCUGCAGGACACACGGCAACCACCUGCCGGACACGCCGGAACCACCGGCUCGACACGCCAGAAACACCACUGGACAUGCAAAAUCACCUGCCGGCUACGCCAGAACCACUUGGCGAGCACUCCGGGAGCACCUGCCGAGCACGCCGGAACCACCUGCUCGACUCACCAGAACCACAUGCCGGACACGCAAAAAUCACCUGCCGGUUAUGCCAGAACCACAUGGUGGACUCUCCGGGAUCACCAGCCGGGCAUGCCGGAACCACCUCUGAGACGUACCAGAACCACGUGCCAGACACGCCGGAACCACAUCCUGGACAGACUGGAACCACCUGCCAUACAUGCCCGAACCUCCUGCCGAGAAUGCCAGAAACACCUGCUCGGCUCCAGGGAAAAACCUAAGGGGAAACUGUCAUAGAAAUGAAGGUCAAACGGCAUUUCUUGCCAGACCUUACCUCGCCACUUUAGAACUUCUGCUUCUGCCACAAUUCCACCUUGCCAACCCGGCUCAGACGAAAUGCCUACAUCUUCCCCUUGAGCAAUGGGGACGAGGCCCGGAUGAUUGUGGUUCCACAUGCUGAGGAGGAGAGAGACAAUAGGCUUUUAACUAACCACCAAGUGCAAUGGUUGAGAGAGUGUCAGAAAGCACCAAUGGCAGAAAGACCCCUUUACUCUCAGCAGUGACCUACAAUGCUCUAGAGCAGGAAGGCACAAAGGACUGCCUCAAUCCUUCAAUGGGAAACAAGCCAUAAACUGUCUUGCUUCCAGCUCUUUAGGAAGCUGAGCAAGAACUCGCUUUCCACAGUGCAGUUAAAGCAUACGAGGAAACACUCAUACAAAGGCAGCUCAAACGCCAUUUCUUCCCAGUGCUUAACUCGCCGCUUUAGGAAUUCUGCUUCUGCCGCAAUUCCACCUUGCCAACACGGCGAGACGAAAUGCCUACAUCUUCCCCUGAAGCAACUGGGCUGUGUCCCAAAUGAUUGAGCGUCCACGUGCUUAGGAGGUGAUAGACUGCACGCCUUUUUCCAACCACCAUUGUGCACUGGUGGAGAGAGUGUUGGAAAGCAGCUAUGUCAGAAAGACCCCUUUGCUCUCAGCUCUGCCCUCCAUUGCUCGAGACGUGGAAUGCACAAUGCACUGGCUCCACCCCUCAAGGGGCGACAAGCCACAGACCAUCUUCCUUCCAUCUCUUCUGGCAGCUGAGAAAGAACUCCCUUUCAACAGUGCUGUUUCUGUGUCCUGGCAACAUCUCAUACAAAGGCAGCUGAUAUGCCGUUUCUUUUCAGCACUUAACUUGCCGAUUUGGAAGUUCUGCUUCUGCCAGAUUUGCACCUUGCCAACCCGGCUCAGACGAAAUGCCUACAUCUUCCCCUCCAGCAACGGGAACGAGCCCCAGAUGAUUGUGCUUCCACAUGCUUAGCAGGAGCAGACAAUAGGCUUUUUACAAACCGCCAUUGUGCACUGGUGCAGAGAGUGUCAGAAUGCGCCUAUGUCAGAAAGGGCCCUUUGCUCUCAGCCGUGCCCUCCAUUGCUCUAGUGGUGGAAGGCACAAAGGACUGCCUCCAUCCUUCAAUUGGAGACAAGCCAUAAACUGUCCUGCUUCCAGCUCUUUAGAAAGCUGGGGAAGCACUCGCAUUCCUCAGUGCUCUUACAGCAUCCUGGGAACAUCUCAUACAAAGCAGCUGAAUGCCAUGUCUUUUCAGCCCUUAACUUGCCAAUCUGCAACAUCUGUUUCUGCCGCAUUUCCACCUUGCCAACCCGGCUCAGACGAAAUGCCUACAUCUUCCCCUUGAGCAAUGGGAACGAGGCCUGGAUGAUUGUGGUUCCACAUGCUGAGGAGGAGACAGACAAUUGGCUUUUAACCAACCGCCCAUGAGCAGUGGUUGGGGUAGUGUCAGAAAGCACCAUUGUCAGAAAGGCCCUUUACUCUCGGCCGUGCCCUCCAUUGCUGUAGAAGUGGAAUGCUCAAUGCACUUGCUCCACCCCCAAGGGGUGACAAGCCACAGACCAUCUUCCUUCCAUCUCUUUAGGAAGCUGAGAACAAACUCACCUGAUGUAUAAAAAGGAAUCAUGCCCCUUAUGUGCCAGAAAACCCUGGGAGACAUGCCAAAAACACCCUCUGCACACUCUCAAAGGGCCACACAUUCAUGCCAGUAUGACCCAACAGGCAUACCAGAAGCACCCACUUUGCAUGCCAGAACCACCUGUAACCACCUGCCAGACACAGUGGAACAGAGAUUCUGACACUGCAGAACCAUCUCUUCAACAUGCCAGCUGCACACAAUGACAUGGAACCAGAUUCCAAACAUAGCACAACGACAUGCCAGACACAUUGUUAACACCUGUUGGAUAUGCCACAAACAGGUUCCAGAAACACUGAAACCAGCUGAGGAGUAUGAAAGAACGGGGGUCAGAAAUGCCACAAGCAUGUGUCUUACAAGCCAGAGCCACGAGCCCAAAAAGCAGGAAAGACCUGCCGGACACACCAAAAUAACCAGCCGGUGUCGCCAGAACCACUUGGCUGACACCCAGGAAUCACCUGCCGGGCAUGCCCGAAGCACCUCACAGACGUGCCAGAACCACGUGCCGGCCAUGCCGGAACCAGCUCCCGGACAGACCAGAAGCACCUGCCGGACACGCCGGAAUCACUUGCCGAGCAUGCAGGAACCACCUUCUCGACACGCAGGACCCACCUGCUGGACACGCCAAAAUCUCCUGCCAGCUCCACCAGAACCACUUGGUGGACACUCUGGAAUCUCUUGCGGGCAUGCAGGAAAUACCUCUCAAACUUGCCACAACCACAUUCCUGACACGCCGGAAUCAACUCCCAAAAACACCAGAAGCACAUGCCAAGCACGCAGGAAUAACCAGCUCGACUCGCUGGAAAGAUGUGCCGGACACGCCAUAAUCACCUGCUGGAUAUGCCAGAACAACAUGGCAGACACUCCGAAAUCACCUGCCAGCCAUGCCGGAACCGCAUCUCAGACGUACCAGAACCACGUGCUGGACACGAAGGAACCACCAGCUCGACACACCGGAACCACAGCCGGACAUGCAAAACCACCUGCCGGCUACGCCAGAACCACUUGGGGGACAAGCCGGAAUCACGUGAAGGGCAUGCCGGCACAACCUCUCAGACGUGCCAGAACCUCGUGCCGGACACCCCAGAACCACCUGCCGGACAGACCGUAACCACCUGCCGGACACGCCGGAACCACCGGCUAGACCCGCUGGAACCACUGCCGGACAUGCAAAAUCACCUGCCGGCUACGCCAGAACCACUUGCCGAACACUCCGGAAGCACCUGUCGAGCACGCCGGAACCACCUGCUCGACUCGCCAGAACCACCUACCUGACACGCCAAAAUCACCUGCCGGGUAUGCCAGAACCACUUGGCGGACACUCCGGAAUCACCUGCCAGACUUGCCGGAAACACCUGCCAGACAUGCCAGAACAACCUGCCGGACAGGCCAAAAUCAACAUAUGGCUCUGCCGGAUCCACCUGGCGGACAGUCUGGAGUCACCUGUUGGGCAUGCGCUACCACCUCUGAGAAGUACCAGAACCAUGUGCCGUACACGCUGGAAGCACCUACCAGACAGACCAGAAUCACCUUCCGGGCAUGCCAAAACCACCUGUCAGAUGUGGCAGAAACACGUGCCAGAGACGCCGGAACCACCUGCCGAGCACGUUGGAACCACAUGCUCAACUCGCCUGAACCACCUGCCGGACAUGCCAAAAUCACCUGCCGGCUACGCCAAAACCACUUGGUGGACUCUCUGGAAUCACCUGCCGGGCAUCAUAGAACCACCUCUCAGAUGGGCCAGAACAACGUGCCGGACACGCCGGAUCCCCCUCCCCGUAAUACCGGAACCACCUGCCGGGCACGUCUGGACCACCUGCCGAGCACGCCGGAACCACCUGCUUGACUCGCAGGACCCACAUGCCGGACACGCCAAAAUGAACUGCCGGCUAGGCCAGAACCACUUGGCGGACACUCCGGAAUCACCUGCCGGGCAUGCCAGAACCACCUCUCACACGUGCCAGAAGCACGUGCCAGACAUGCCAGAACGACCUAUCGGACAGAAUGGAACCACCUGCCAGACACGCCGGAACCACCUGCCGAACACGCCACAGCCACCUGCUGGACUCGCCGGAACCACCUGCCGGCAGGCCAAUAUCAACUGCUGGCUAUGCCAGAACCACCUGGGGAUCAGUCCAGAAUCACCUGCCAGCAAUGGCGGAACCACCUCUCAGACGUACCAUAACCACGUGCCGCACAAGCUGGAAACACGUACUGGACAGACUGGAACCACCUGCCGGCCACGCCGGAACCACCUGCCGAGCACGACGGAACCACCUGCAGGACACGCCCAAAUCACCUGCGGGCUAUGCCAGAACCACUUGGAGGACUCUCUGGGAUGACCUGCCGGGCAUGCUGGAACCACCUCUCAGACGUGCCAGAACCACGUGGCGGAGAGUCUGGAAUCACCUGUUGGGCAUGCGCAACCACCUCUGAGACGUACCAGAACCACGUGCCGUACACGCCGGAACCACCUACCGGACAGACCGAAAUCACCUUUCGGGCAUGCCGGAAUCACAUGUCAGAUGUGCCAGAAACACAUGCCGGACACGCCGGAACCCCCUCCCGCACAGACCGGAACCGCCUGCCGGACCUGCCUGAACCAACUGUCGAGCACGCCGGAACCACAUGCUCGACUCUCUGUGACCACAUGCCAGAAGUGGCAAAAUCACCUGACGGCUACGCCAGAACAACUUGGCGGAAACUUCAGAAUCACCUGCCGGACACGCCAAAAACUCUUGCCGCCUAGGCCACAACCAGUUGGUGAACACUUCGGAAUCAGCUGCCGGGAUUGCUGGAACCACCUGCCGGUCACGCCAACAUCACAUGCCAGGUACGCCAGAACCACUUGGACACUCCGGAAAAACCUGUCGGGCCAGCCGGAACCACCUCUCAGACUUGCCAGAACCAUGUACCGGACAAGCCAGUACCACCUGCCGAGUAUGCCGGGACGACCUGAUCCACUCCACAGAACCACCUGCUGGACACGCCAAAAUCACCUGCCGGCUACGCCAGAACCACUCGGCAGACACUCCGCAACCACCUCCAGGACAGACCGGAACCACCUGUCGGACACGCCGGGAACACCUGCUUGAGUCGCCAGAACCACCUGCCGGACACGCCAAAAUCACCAGCUGGCUACGCCACAACCACUUGUCGGACACUCCGGAAUCACCUGCCGGGCAUGCUGGAACCACCUCUCAGAGGUGCCACAACCACAUGCCGGAGACGGCGGAAGCACCUGCUGAGAAUGCCGGAAGUUUCUGAUCCACUCCACAGAACCACCAGCCGGACACGCCAAAAUCACCUGCCGGCUGCACCAGAACUACUUGGAGGACACUCCAGAAUCACCAGCCGGGCAUGCCAGCACAACCUCUAAGACGUGCCCGAAGCACGUGCCAGACAGGCCGGAACCAUCUCCUGGACAGACCGGAACCACAGGAAACACUCGCCGGAACCACCUGCUUGACUCACCGGUCCCACCUGCCGGACACCCCAAAAUCACCUGCUGGCUACGCCACAACCAUUUCGUGAACACUUCGGAAUCACCUGCCGGCCAUGCCGGCACCACCUCUCAGAGGGGCCAGUACCACGUGCCGGAGAGACCGGAAGCAACUGCCGAGCUCGCCGGGAACACCUGCUGGACAUGCCGGAACCUCCUGCCUGACAGGCCAAAAUCAUAUGCCGGCUACGCCAAAACCACUUGGUGGACACUCCAGAAUCACCUGGCGGUCAUGCCGGAACCACGUCAUGGACAGACUGCAAACACCUGCCGGACAUGCCGGAACCACCUGCCAAGGAUGCCGGAACCACCUGAUCCACUCCCCUGAACCACCUGCUUGACACGCCAAAAUCACCCAGCGGCUACGCCAGAACCACUCGGCAGACACUCCGGAAUCACCUGCCAGGCAUGCCGGAACCACCUCUCAGAGGUGCCACAACCACGUGCUGGAGAGUCCAGAAGCAACUGCCGAGCACGCCGGAACCACCUGCUCGACUCCCCAGAACCACCUGCCGGACACGCCAAAAUCACCUGCCGGCUACGCCACAACCAGUUGGUGAACACUUCAGAAUCACCUGCUGCGCUUGCCGGAACCACCUGCCGGUCACACCAAAAUCACCUGCCGGCUACGCCAGAACCACUCGGCAGAGACUCCGGAACCACCUCCAGGACAGACUGGAAUCAACUGCUGGACACGCUGAGACCACCUGCUUGACUCUCCAGAACCACCUGCCGGACCCGCCAAAAUCACCAGCCGGCUACGCCACAACCACUUGUCGGACACUCCGGAAUCACCUGCCGGGCAAUUGGAACCACCUCUCAGAGGUGCCACAACAACAUACCGGAGACGGCGGAAGCACCUGCCGAGAAUGCCGGAAGUUCCUGAUCCACUCCACAGAACCACCUGCUGGACACGCCAAAAUCACCUGCCAGCUACGCCACAACCAGUUGGUGAACACUUCAGAAUCAACUGCCGUGCUUGCUGGAAGCACCUGCCAGUCAUGCCAAUAUCACCUGCCAGCUACGCCAGAACCACUUGGCGGACACUCCGGAAACACCUGUCUGGCCUGCCGGAACCACCUGCUCGACUCGCCAGAACCACCUGCCGGACACGCCAAAAUCACCUGUCGGCUACGCCAGAACAACUUGGCAGACACUACGGAAUCACCUUGCGGCAUGCCAGAACCACCUCUCAGACACACCAGAACCACAUGGCGGAGACGCCGGAAGCACCUGCUGAGCAAGCCAGAGCCAGCUGCUUGACUCCCAAAAACACCUGCCGGACACGCCAAAAUCACCUGCCGGGUACGCCAGAACCACCAGGUGGAUACUCUGGAAUCAUCUGCCAGACAUGCCAGAACCAGCUCUCAGACACACCAGAACCCCGUGCCGGAGACGCCGGAAGCACCUGCUGAGUGUGCCUAAGCCACCUGCUCGACUCCCAAAAACACCUGCCGGACACGCCAAAAUCACCUGCCGGCUACGCCAGAACAACUUGGGAGACACUCCAGAAUCACCUGUCGGGCAUGCCGGAAGCACCUCUAAGACUCUCCAGAACCACAUGCCAAUGACACCAGAAGCACCUGCCGAGCACGCCGGAACCAAACUGCUCGACUUGCCAGAAUCACCUGCCGGACACGCCAAAAACUCUUGCCGCCUAGGCCACAACCAGUUGGUGAACACUUCGGAAUCAGCUGCCGGGAUUGCUGGAACCACCUGCCGGUCACGCCAACAUCACAUGCCAGGUACGCCAGAACCACUUGGACACUCCGGAAAAACCUGUCGGGCCAGCCGGAACCACCUCUCAGACUUGCCAGAACCAUGUACCGGACAAGCCAGUACCACCUGCCGAGUAUGCCGGGACGACCUGAUCCACUCCACAGAACCACCUGCUGGACACGCCAAAAUCACCUGCCGGCUACGCCAGAACCACUCGGCAGACACUCCGCAACCACCUCCAGGACAGACCGGAACCACCUGUCGGACACGCCGGGAACACCUGCUUGAGUCGCCAGAACCACCUGCCGGACACGCCAAAAUCACCAGCUGGCUACGCCACAACCACUUGUCGGACACUCCGGAAUCACCUGCCGGGCAUGCUGGAACCACCUCUCAGAGGUGCCACAACCACAUGCCGGAGACCGCGGAAGCACCUGCCGAGAAUGCUGGAUGUUCCUGAUCCACUCCACAGAACCACCUGCCGGACACACCAAAAUCACCUGCCGGGUAUGCCAGAACCACUUGGUGGACACUCCGAAAUCAUCUGCCGGACAUGCCAGAACCAGCUCUCAGACACACCAGAAACACGUGACGGAGACGCCGGAAGCACCUGCUGAGCAUGCCUGAGCCACCUGCUCGACUCGCAAGAAACACCUGCCGGACACGCCAAAAUCACCUGCCCGCUACACCAGAACCAGUUUGCGGACAAGCCGGAAUCACGUAACUGGCAUGCCGACACAACCUCUCAGACUUGCCAGAACCUCGUGCUGGACACCCCAGGACCACCUGGCGGACAGACCGGAACCACAUGCCAGACACGCCGGAACCACCGGCUCGACUCGCCGGAACCACCACCGGACAUGCAAAAUCACCUGCCGGCUACACCAGAACUGCUUGGCGAACACUCCAGAAUCACCAGCCGUGCAUGCCGGAACCACCUCUCAGACAUCCCAGAACCACAUGCCAAUGACACCGGAAGCACCUGCUCGACUCGCCAGAACCACCUGCCAUACAUGCCAAAAGCACCUGCCGGCUACGCCACAACCAGUUGGUGAACACUUCAGAAUCACCUGUCAGGCUUUCUGGAACCACCUGCCGGUCACAACAACAUCACCUGCCAGCUGCGCCAAAACCAUUUGGCGGACACUCCAGAAUCACCUGCCGGGCAUGCCCGUAAAACCUCUCAGAAGGGCCAGAAGCACAUACCCGACAGACCAGAACCAUCUCCCGGACAGACCGGAACCACAGGAAACACUCGCCAGAACCACCUGCUUGUCUCACCGGUCCCUCCUCGCGGACACGCCAAAAUCACCUGCCCACUACACCAGAGCCACUUGCCGGACAAGCCGGAAUCACGUGAAGGGCCUGCCAACACAACCUGUCAGACGUGCCAGAACCUCGUGCCGGACACCGCAGAACCACCUGCCGGACAGACUGGAACCACCUACCGGACACGCCGGACCCACCAGCUCGACGCACCGGAACCACCGCUGGACAUGCAGAAUCACCUGCCGGCUACGCCAGAACCUAUUGGCGAACACUCCGGAAUCAACUGCCGGGCAUGCCGGAACCACCUCUCAGACAUGCCGGAACCACAUGCCAAUGACACCGGAAGCACCUGCCGAGCACGCCGGAACCACCUGCUCGACUCGCCAGAACCACCUACCUGACACACCAAAUCACCUGCCGGGUAUGCCAGAACCACUUGGUGCACCUUCCGGAAUCACCUGUCGGGCAGGUGGAACCACCUCUCAGACUUGCCAGAACCAUGUUCCGGACACGUCGGUAUCACCUGCCACGCAUGCCGGAACCACCUCUCAGACGUGCCAGAAACACGUGCCGGACACGCUGGAAACACCUACCGGACAGACCGGAACCACCUGCCAGACAUGCCGGAACCACCUGCCGAGCACGCCGGAGCCUCCUGCUCGACUCCUCGGAACCACCUGUUGGAGAGGCCAAAAUCAACAGCUGGCUAUGCGAGAAGCACCUGGCGGACAGUCCAGAAUCACCUGCCGGGCAUGCAGGAACCACCUCUCAGACGGAACAGAACCACGUGCCGGACACGCUGGAACCACGUCCUGGAGAGACUGGAACCACCUGCCGGACACGCCUGGACCACCUGUCGAGCACGCCGGAACCACCUGCUCGACUCGCAGGACCCACGUGCUGGACACGCCAAAAUGAACUGCCGGGUACACCAGAACCACUUACCCGCCACUCCGGAAUCACCUGCCUGGCAUGCCAGAAACACCUCUCAGAGGUUCCAGAAGCACGUGCCAGACAUGCCAGAACGACCUAUGGGAUAGAACAGAACCACCUGCCAGACAUGCCGGAACCACCUGCCCAACAAGCCACAGCCACCUGCUUGACUCGCUGGAACCACCUGCCGGACAGGCCAAUAUCAACUGCUGGCUAUGCCAGAACCACCUGGCGGACAGUCCAGAAUCACCUGCCGGGCAUGCAGGAACCACCUCUCAGACGUACCAGAACCACGUGCCGGACAAGAUGGAAACACGUCCUGGACAGACUGGAACCACCUGCCGGCAACACCUGAACCACCUGCCGAGCACGACAGAACCACCUGCCGGACACGCCAAAAUCACCUGCGGGCUACGCCAGAACCACUUGGAGGACUCUCCGGGAUGACCUGCCGGGCAUGCUGGAACCAUCUCUCAGACGUAACAGAACCACGUGCCGGACAAGCUGGAAACACGUACUGGAAAGACUGGAACCACCUGACGGCCAUGCCUGAACCAACUGCCGAGCACACGGGAACCAAGUGCUCCACUCGCAGGACCCACCUGCCGGACAUGCCAAAAUCACCUGCCGGCUAUGCCAGAACCACUUGCUGGACACUGGAAUCACCUGCCUGGCAUGCCGUAACCACCUCUCAGACAUGCCAGAACCACGUGCCGGACACGCCGGAACAACUUGGUGGACACUCUGGAAUCACCUGCUGGACAUGACGAAACCACCUACAGGACAGACGGGAACCACGUGCUGAGCAUGCCGGAACCACCUGCUCGACUCGCCAGAACCACCUGCCAGACACGCGAAAAUCACCUUCGGCUACGACAGAACCACUUGGCAGACACUCCAGAAUCACCUGCCGAGCAUGCCGGAACCACCUCUCAGACGUGCCAGAACCACGUGC